UGUCUCUGGACUGCGCGCAUUAUUAUUAUAAAGUGCAGGGGCCUCGGCGCAAGAAACCCGAGAUUCAUUUUCCCCCGCACAGGAUGGCGGGUUAAUUACGAAAAUGAUCAGGGGCUCUUAUGUAAUAUAGCAGUAGCGAAGGGGUACGGGUAAACUACAACCGCCCGAUUAGAUUUCAGUGGCUGGGAUUAGAUCAACAUUAAAUCGAACCGGUUCGCAAUCGUACCCGUCUGAUCCCGAUCCAAGGGUCGGGAUUUAAUAUGCUCCGAUCGAACAUAUACCGCUGAUCUUCCGAUGGACGGUAUAAAAUCAACGACCCUAAGGGGAUCUCUGCUUCUAAUUUCGUCCGUCCUCUUCCGAUGCAACGGAUGACCGUCAUCUCCUUCCUCCGGUACCCGGCCACGGCGGCGCUGCCGGCCGUCCACGACAGUACGCAUGCCCGUGACUGGUGGCCCGAUUCCCCGGCGACCGAAACACCGAUUGAGUUGGCGCUACGGGUUGCUACGCUCCUAUUGAGACUGUUGAAGGGUGACUCACCAGCGACAAGGUUGAGACGAGAUCGGUCCACGUCGGGGUUGCGGCACCGCGGUGAGACCCGCACCGGCAAGGGAACACCAUGGCCGAGGCCAUCCAUCCCUACAUCUCGCGCUUGAGGAAGAUCCACACAGGUCGAUCUUAAUUUCUCUCCCAGCAUUGGCGUUCCCAAACCGGGCCGCCUGGCAGACUCCGACCGAUGGCGAAGUUGAGGAACGACGUCGGCGGUUUCACCCUGACCCCAUUGGCGCUGCUGGUUUGGUAGCGAUAGGAGGUGGUUCGGCGGCUUCGUUAAUCAGAGGAGUAGGCCGGCACCAGGUUAUAUGUACUGCUUAGGCAGGAUCUCAACCAUAUUCCGAAAAUCUCGAGGGCACGAAGAAAUUGCGGCUGCAGCAACGGACAAGGCCGAGCAUCCAGGAAAGAAGAACCUGACACCCUCAACCCCACCCAUCAGAGGUGCAAGACAUUGAGGCAUCCGUUGAUUACUCUGCCCGUGGGACCCACACCACGGUGCCCCAAAUAGACCAGGCGACGUGAAUGAUGGGAUGGAGUCAUCAUCGGCUAGGGCCUAGGGGAUUAAUAAAAUCGAAAAAGAUUAUGUCCACGUCUUGACUAGUGGCCAAACGGCCAUGGGUUUUCACGUAGAUUUUAGGCUUCAUUUUUUUUGUUUUAUUUUCCUGUUGUCUUAUUUCUGUUUUAAACCUUACUUCAAAUCCAAAUCCAGAUUAUAAAUUCAAAUAUGAGUGCAACAAUACAAGAAAAUCACGCAUGAUGCAAAGUAUAUUUUAUUUUACUUCUGUUACUAUUCCAUUCUUUUAAGUAAAUGCGCCAAAACAUAUAGCUCACUACAAAUUAAAUCGCACCCUUCAAAGAUUUUUUUUCAAGAGAAUAGAUCUUUAACCAUAUUCAAAAUUAAAUGUUUUAAUAUUUACUUAUAAAGGAAUGCCUAUGAAACAUUUAUUUAUUAAUUAUUCCAUUAAAAAACGAGCAUUAUAAAAAAAUAAACUAUAUAUUAAUAGAAUUAUUAAUUGUCCAUAUUCAUAUAUAAUUCGGGUAUUACAAAUCCUACCCCCUUAAAAGGAAUCUUGUCCUCGAGAUUAGUAGAAAAGGGAUGCAACCAGUUUGGUUUAGGAAUUAAAAGUUUUGUUUCAAGUUUUUUUUACUCGCUAGUAGAUGAUUUGGAAUAUAUAUAUAUAUAUAUAUAUAUAUAUAUAUAUAUAUAUAUAUAUAUAUAUGUCUAGCCAUCUAUUAUGUCAGAUGAGGUACGAUUAUGGCAAGUAUAGGUUGUGGCAAGGAAGAGUAUAAUAAGGAAAGACUUCAUCUUGAACUGUGGAUCUUGAUUCCGCUGGCGAUUCAACUUGAUCUUUGAAGACUUGAGUUGAUGCUUAUCCUUCUUUGACGUGGUUGGUCUUCUUUGGCCUUUCUUCUUAGAGCUGCCGUCCGAGUUAAGGGCAUAUAGUUAGGAUAGCGGGGGUACACGAGGUAGGUAAGUUUGAACAAAGUUUUACUUUGCUUUUAGGACAAAUGGACUAAGUAGCCUGUGAGGUAGGUUAUGUUGUUUGUUCACGGACGAGUUGGUCUGUCAUUCUUAAUUUAGUGCAGAGUGCAAUAAUUUAAAAUAUGUUUUAUAGGGGUAGAGUCUCAUUUAUUUUACCACUAUUAACUGGUUAAGGGAUGACCUUAGGUUAGCUCACUUAAGGUUAGACUUCGUUAGGUUAGAUUAAUCCAUCACAUUAGAUCGGAUCUAGGUUAGAUUGUUAUGACUAGAUAAGAUCUCAUUAAUUUGGAUUAGAUCAUGGUUUUACUUUAGGAUGAGAUAAGCAAAGUUGUUAGGAUAAGACGAAUCUGUCAAGGUGAGAUGAAUCUAUUGAGAUAAGAGAGAAUCUUUUAAGCCAAGAUGUACCUAUUUAAAAGUAGAUACACUUUGAUGAAGGAUAAUCUAGGUUGUUUAGUUAUCUUAUGAAUGAAUUCUAUUUAUGCCUAUAUGUAUAUGCAGAUGUAAUUGUGGACAUUACUCCACAACUCAUCACACUCAAUCAAAGAUCCAAAUCAGACAAAUAUCAUAAGAACAAGAAUUCAAGCAUGUAGAUACUUAUAAAAAUAGUUUUGUUUUUUUCCUAAGAUUAGGUCUCCUAUUCCUAAGGGUCACUUUAGGCACAGGAUUUCAAAGUGUGAAAUCCACAUUUGUCUUUAGAAGGAAAAGGUAAGAAUAAUCAGAGUAAGCGGAAAUAGAUGAGAAAAGAUUAAGGAAAGUUUAGAAAAAGAAUCAGAGUAGCAAAGGUAAGUAGAUAAUGGUUAUCCAGUUCUAUCUAGGUUUCGUCAUACAGUCAACAUUCCUCUGAUACCACUUCUGUCACACCCGGAUUUCGGGCACCAAGACUCGGGCGCGAACAUAAACACCAGGUGUGCUGGGACCAAGUCUCACACAUAUGAUGAAUAAUGGCACAGGAUCGAAUGUCACAUCUUUACUACAUAACAGAAGUUCUAUACAAAAUAAAUAAAUAAAUAAGUACAUUAUAAGGAGACAACGGUCCAGCAACCCAAAGUUGACUGGGAGACGACGACCUAGACCUCUCACGAACUCGUCAUAGCAUCCUCCAUGCGCCUCAUCCUGUGGUACUGUUCUUGACCUGUGGGGGGUGUGAGACAGCGAGAGUGAGCUCACAUAAGUUCAUCGCUCAACAAGUUGUGGGGAAUAAUGUGCAUGAACUCGCCAAAGGUGGGAGCUCACGUGAGGUGUAAGGCUUACCAAAGAGGAUGGUUAGAGCUUAGCAUUGCUUUUAAAGUUGGUCAAAAUUUUAUUAGCAAUUACUAAGUAUAAGUAAAUACCAACCCAAUUAAGUAGUAGAACAGAAGUAACAACAUCACCUGCGAUGCAAUGCAUAUGACAAAUUGAAUUUAAGUUCCAUAAAUUAAUCAUGUGAGGGUCCGAGCUGCUCAUGACCGUAAGCACGGCUAGUAUACCAGUUUUACACUCUGCAGAGGUUGCGCAUCUUUACCCACAAGUCAUGUUACCCAUCUGCCAAGGGAUCGUGACUUUCCAUACACCUCUACCAAGGAGGCGAGGCAGGGUAACACUACGAGGCAUUUACAAAGUUCCACUAGCUUCAGAAAACCCGCUACAGUUUAUAGGAAGCUCCAAUGCAGGGAUCCCUCGCAUGACCGCCAUCGCAGCAAAAUCAUCCCAAGGACCUCCCUACACUGACCACUCCCCUACUGCCCUUGCCCCUUUCGGGUAAGGUAGUCCUCCACUAGCUUUCCUAAUUAAUCAGCCAAGGGCGUCCAUAAACCCUUGUGGUAGCACUGUUUUCCCGGGUGGUCGCUCCAUGUUCCAAUUAACAUAAUGAUCUUAUCAUGAACAGUGAUAAUAAACAGAUAAUAAAAGUGUGAUCAUGAAUAAUGUAUCUUCAUACCCAAAACCACAUAAAGCACUAGCAAGUACUACCCAAAAACUUCAGUGAUAAACAAGGUAUAAAGAUAAUCAAACUAGGGUAACCUAUUGGGUCCCAUCAAAAUUAACCUAUGCAGAUCAUUAUGAUUAAUUAGAACAUGAGUGAGUAAAAAGAAGUGAUCAAGGGCACAACUUGCCUGGGACUUGAGAUUCCAGGUACCAACUUGCUCUUCAGAUGACACGUGUCCUCACGCUAGUCGUAGCAAUACAGACAAACAUAGUACAUGCAAAAUUAACAUCACACCAAACAUAGGAAUAAACCACGUAAUAAUAAUCUACAUGCUGCUACGAGAUCGGAGAAACAAGAACUGCUAAAUUCGGAGCUACGGUUAUUAAGUUAUGUAUUUUCGAAAUUAUUUAGUGCUUAGAAUAGAUUAAUCCAAAUGAACAAUUUUAAUUCAAAUUUCAUGGCUAAACAGUGUUACUAGUUGAUAGACAAUAUUAAAACAAAAUUAUUGCAACUAGAAUGGAUCAAUUUGGAGUUAUAUAUUUUAAGUUAUGAAUUUCUGAAGGUUUUAUGUGUUUUAUGCAAGAUUAAAUAGGAUAUGAAUUUUAAUAUGACUUUCAUGUGAAAACAGUGGUACUAUAUGAUAAACCAUAAUAUUACAAAAUUAUAGGAACUGGAAUGGACUAAAAAGGAGUUAGUACGAAUUUUCUAGGAAUUAAACAAGAUCUAGAAUUAUUUUUAUACUAGAAAAGCAUUUUCUGUAUUAAUUUAUUCAAUUUCCUAUGUCUCUGGACUGCGCGCAUUAUUAUUAUAAAGUGCAGGGGCCUCGGCGCAAGAAACCCGAGACUCAUUUCCCCCCCCCCCCUCACAGGAUGGCGGGUUAAUUACGAAAAUGAUCAGGGGCUCUUAUGUAAUAUAGCAGUAGCGAAGGGGUACGGGUAAACUACAACCGCCCGAUUAGAUUUCAGUGGCUGGGAUUAGAUCAACAUUAAAUCGAACUGGUUCGCAAUCGUACCCGUCUGAUCCCGAUCCAAGGGUCGGGAUUUAAUAUGCUCCGAUCGAACAUAUACCGCUGAUCUUCCGAUGGACGGUAUAAAAUCAACGACCCUAAGGGGAUCUCUGCUUCUAAUUUCGUCCGUCCUCUUCCGAUGCAACGGAUGACCGUCAUCUCCUUCCUCCGGUACCCGGCCACGGCGGCGCUGCCGGCCGUCCACGACAGUACGCAUGCCCGUGACUGGUGGCCCGAUUCCCCGGCGACCGAAACACCGAUUGAGUUGGCGCUACGGGUUGCUACGCUCCUACUGAGACUGUUGAAGGGUGACUCACCAGCGACAAGGUUGAGACGAGAUCGGUCCACGUCGGGGUUGCGGCACCGCGGUGAGACCCGCACCGGCAAGGGAACACCAUGGCCGAGGCCAUCCAUCCCUACAUCUCGCGCUUGAGGAAGAUCCACACAGGUCGAUCUUAAUUUCUCUCCCAGCAUUGGCGUUCCCAAACCGGGCCGCCUGGCAGACUCCGACCGAUGGCGAAGUUGAGGAACGGCGUCGGCGGUUUCACCCUGACCCCAUUGGCGCUGCUGGUUUGGUAGCGAUAGGAGGUGGUUCGGCGGCUUCGUUAAUCAGAGGAGUGGGCUGGCACCAGGUUAUAUGUACUGCUUAGGCAGGAUCUCAACCAUAUUCCGAAAAUCUCGAGGGCACGAAGAAAUUGUGGCUGCAGCAACGGACAAGGCCGAGCAUCCAGGAAAGAAGAACCUGACACCCUCAACCCCACCCGUCAGAGGUGCAAGACAUUGAGGCAUCCGUUGAUUACUCUGCCCGUGGGACCCACACC
rnacentral:lncRNA from 1 species